rnacentral:rRNA from 1 species
AUUGAACGCUGGCGGCAGGCCUAACACAUGCAAGUCGAACGAGUGGCGGACGGGUGAGUAAUGUCUGGGAAACUGCCCGAUGGAGGGGGAUAACUACUGGAAACGGUAGCUAAUACCGCAUACCAUCGGAUGUGCCCAGAUGGGAUUAGCUAGUAGGUGGGGUAACGGCUGACCUAGGCGACGAACCCUAGCUGGUCUGAGAGGAUGACCAGCCACACGGUAACUGAGGCACGGUCCAGACUCCUACGGGAGGCAGCAGUUGGAGAUAUUGCACAAUGGGCGCAAGCCUGAUGCAGCCAUGCCGCGAGUAUGAAGAAAGCCUUCGGGUUGUAAAGUACUUUCAGCGAGGAGGCGUUACUCGCAGGGGAAGCACCGGCUAACUCCGUGCCAGCAGACGCGGUGAUUC